rnacentral:rRNA from 1 species
AACGAACGCUGGCGGCGCGCCUAAUACAUGCAAGUCGAGCGAGAAGGUGUAGCAAUACACUUGUAAAGCGGCGAACGGGUGAGGAAUGCAUGGGUAACCUACCCUCGAGUGGGGAAUAACUAGCCGAAAGGUUAGCUAAUACCGCAUACGUUUCCGGAACUUCGGUUUCGGAAAGAAAGCAAUACCGUGGGUAUUGCGCUCCUGGAUGGGCUCAUGUCCUAUCAGCUUGUGGUGAGGUAACGGCUCACCAAGGCUUCGACGGGUAGCUGGUCUGAGAGGACGAUCAGCCACACUGGCACUGCGACACGGGCCAGACUCCUAGGGA